GUGCUUUGGACCAAAGAAACUCCGGAUCUAGAAGAGGAUACAGAGAGACACUGGGUUACUUCCACCUUUUGCCUACUGUGAAUAAUGCUGCUGUGAACACGGGUGUACAAAUAUCUCUUCUGAACAUCCUGCUUUCAAUUAUUUUGGACACGUACCCUGAAGUGGUGUUGCUGGAUCACAUGAGCUCACUCUACUCUCGAUGAGGACCUAGAAAGAUGGCUACACCCCCCUGAGUACAGCACGGAGCUCCAAGAUCUGCCUGAAGGCUCUACAAGGGAGGCAAAUAUCAAGGAUCAAGAAGCUGGUGAAAAGAAGAGAAAAGGGGAAGAAAGGAUCAAAUCAGAGAGGAGGAAAUCAGACAGCUUUUUAGGAACUUCUGAAGAAGAGGAACUAAAGCCCUGUUUUUGGAAGCGACUGGGUUGGUCUGAACCAUCCAGGAUAAUCGUGCUGGAUCAGAGUGACUUGUCAGACUGAUGGGAAUUGGAUCAUAGGUGGUCUCCUGGCCUGAGUGUGAGUGUCCUGCUUGUGAACUCCCGCCUCUCCUCAUCUGCUUCAGUCACCAGCAGGGCAGGGAUUCCGUAGCUCACACUUUGUGCGGCCACCACGGUAGACAGAACCACUGGCCCCGUCUGUUUGCAGCACAUUUAACAGUUUGGUUUUAGUUCAGAUUUCUGAAAAGUGAAAGGUAGCUUUUAUUGUAAGAUUUCUUCAUUGUUUGCAGAAUGGCUUUUGGUUUUGUUGUUUAAGAUUUUUGAAAACUUUAACUCCUGUUAUAUAAUAAAAUGUUUACUUUUAAUACCA